GCCACCACACCCAGCUAAUUUUUUGUAUUUUUAGUAGAGAUGAGGUUUCACUGUGUUAGCCAGGAUGGUCUCAAUCUCCUGACCUUGUGAUCCGCCCACCUCGGCCUCCCAAAGUGCUGGGAUUACAGGUGUGAGCCACUGCGCCCGGCCGCUUUACUCUUAAGUUCGUGAGAAAAAUUUAUGUAAAUGUUACAGAACAGUCUUGAAAAUGUUUUUUUGAUGAUGAGUAUUAGAAUACCUCCCUUUAACUCUGGCGCUAUGAUAUCACAUCUCCCAGAAGGUCAACAAACCACUCAGGUGGUGGGAUCUAUUGUGUAAAUGAAUCUGCCAGAUGAACUGCUCCACUAAACACCUCUUCUUUGAGAUCCAUAGGGACUUCCCUAUUAAAACACAGGCCAAGGCUAGUUUGAAAAUGUACUGGUAUCCUUGUGCCUAAAUCAAACUCAAAUUGAAGGUCUCCAUGAUGUCCUGUACUGGCCUCCUUAUGGACUGAAAGUUCUACUGAUAUACACAGUGUAGCGGAGGAAAAACUUUUCUUCAACCCUCGUUGGUUUAGUAACUGGGGCCCUGCAAAUUAAACUGACCAAAAACAGGCUAGCAGGAUAAAUAGUUGUGUAUGCACCCAGAGGCAUCCACAGAAACAAAAUGAAGACAAAGAAACAGUUAGACUUGGAGGCUUUAUAUACCAUUUUAACAAACAGCAGUAUAAAGAAGUGGGAAGACAAAGGAAAGGGAGUUGGGCCUUGUAGGGGUGGUAAGUUGUGGAUUUUCCUGGUAUGAAAGAGUGAAGGGAGGACAUUUUCUUAAACAAAAAUGUAUGCCCUGCUUUUAAGCAAGUAGGGGGAGGGCACAGAGCUUUUCUGUGCCUGCUAUUUCUUGAUUGCCUUCAGCUUAAAAUAAUUCUUAUGUCAAAGAGGUAAAUUUUGGGGUGGCAUACUCUGAUCAGUAGAAUUCAGUAGAAUUUUUAGGGCUGAAUCUAUCAAGGUUAUGUUUACACGUUCAAAACAUAUUCAAGCUUGCACAAUAACUUCUGAAAACAGUAGAUAAAGAACUAAAAUCAAUAGUUGAAAGCCUAAUUUAAAAGAAAGAUUCUCCGGCUGGGCGUGGUGGUUCACGACUGUAAUCCCAGCACUUUGGUAGGCCGAGGCAGGCAGAUCACCUGAGGUCGGGAGAUUGAGACCAGUGUGACAAACAUGGAGAAAUCCCAUCUCUACUAAAAAAUACAAAAAAAUUAGCCGGGCUUGGUGGUGCAUGCCUAUAAUCCCAACUAUGCAGGAGGCUGAGGCAGGAGAAUCGCUUGAACCUGGGAGGCAGAGGUUGCAGUGAGCUGGGAUUGUGCCAUUGCAAUCCAGCCUGGGCAACAAGAGUGAAACUCCGUCUUGAAAAAAAAAAAAAAAAAGACUCACCAUAACUUUUACUGGUCCUUAUGUCAAAUAACACAAUCUGCAAUGAUAUAUAUUAGUUUAGGACCUCAGGGUCAUAAAAAAAAACUGCCAUUCCCGAACUUUCUGUGUACUAAGCUCUAAUACUAUUUUCUUGUGGGGUUGCAUAUUCUGGACUUAGAAAUCUAUGCUAUGCCCUCUUUAGUGGUUCCUUAAGGUAGACUGAAAUAGUUAAUCCUGCUUACUUUUUCCUGGUAAAGUCAACAAUAUGCUUUGACAGUUAUGCUUUAGUGAUUUACCUUUUUUUCACAGGCUCAUGAUUAGGACCUUGUGAACCUUAAAUUUCCUUGAAACUCUACUUGUAUCCGAUAUGUAGAUGACCUCUUGUUAUAUUCUAAAAAUGAAUUGAGCUCUCUUAGUCAUUUAUGUUCUUACAGUUUUAACUCAGAAAGGACUUAAAGUUAGAAGGAAAGUCAUAAUUUUCUCAAAACAGAUUGUGUAACUUAGAUCAAGAUUUAUUCAAGAGUAAAUACCCCACUUAGGACAGAGGAAAAGCCAUUCAACAGUUUUCCAGGCCAAAGCUACACACCAUGAUAUACACUUGUAGUCCUAGCUUCUCAGGAGGCUGAGGCAGGAGCAGGAGGAUCUCCUGAGCCCAGGAAUUUCAGCCUGUCUAGGAUUGCUCCAGUGAAUAGCAACUGUACUCCAGCCUGGGCAAAAAACCAAGAUCCCAUCUCUAAAACAAAAACAAACACAAACAAACGAACUUUCCUGGGCCAGUUAUUCAGAGUCAAUUAAGAGGAUUCCAACUGUCCUAGAAUCAUCAUGACUCUAUCUGAUUUAAACAAGUUUUAAGUAAUCAAAACUCUUCCUUGGGAGCCUAAAUAUGAGCCAGCAUUUUAUGAUUUAAAAUGAGAUUUUUAACAUCUUCAUAUGCUGAGUCAUCUUAAGUAUUUUAAACUGUUUUACCUAUUUGCAUAUAAGCAAUGAUGGACAAGCCCUUAGUGUUCUGACUCAGCUUUAUAGCAUUUAUCAGAGACUUGCUACAGCUUUCCUCUUGACCCAAUGGCAAAAGUGCACCUUCCUUGUCUCAGGGCAAUAGCAACUCAGCUAAAUUAGUGAAGGCUACUGUUAACUCACUCGUAGGGUCUCCCUUAGACUCAAUGGACCCUCAUCAUGUACAGUAUGUUGCAUGCUAACAAUUCACUAUCUUUCUUUCUUUUUUUACUUUAUUCAAUCUGUAGAGACUGUCAAAAUUUUCCAAUGCCAACUGUAUUGCAAAUCAUCACCACCGGGUAUUGGGAAAUUUUCAAUUAGCAAUAAUCACACCUCAGAAAAACCUCACUGGCUGCAUGAAACUGAAAAUGCACUUAACGGGUAUGCUUACUAUUCAUGAAAUUUUAUUACUUUCUCACUUACAUGUUUCCUUCCCUGGUAGUACCAUAAUAUAUGUACUGUUGCUUUCCUUCUUUUACCGGAAGAAGGGGUAAAUCAUGACUGCCUAACCUCUGGCCAAGAACAGUCCAUGCCCUAAACGAAUAGAUUAGAAACUCUUCCAGAAAAUUGGGAGUUAGCCUUGUUCAUUCAUGGCGAUACUGUUUGGAUUUGUGUUCCUGCCCAAAUCUCAUGUCAAAUUGUGAUCCUCAGUGUUGAAGGAGGGGCCUGAAGGGAGGUGACUGGAUCAUGGGGGCAGAUUUUUCCCUUGCUGUUCUCAUGAUAGUGAAUUCUCAUGAGAUCUGGCUGUUUAAAAGUGUGUAGCACCUUUCCCUUUGCUCUCUUCCUUCUGUUGUAGCCAUGUAGGAUGUGCCUGCUUCUACUUCAGCUUCUGCCAUAAUUGGGAAUUUCCUGAGGCCUCCCUAGCCAUGCUUCCUGUACAGCCUGCAGAACCCAUGAGCCAAUUAAACCUCUUUUCUUUAUGAAUUA